UCCGUCUUCCCAUCAGCAACUGCGCCAUAAUCAUUUACAUUAAAAACACCCCGUACACUCAAAGGAAAUUCGCCGGAGGGCUCCGGCGCAAGAGAAUCAAAUCCACCGUCGGCAGAUUCAAGAGGCGUGUCCGGGGAGAAAGUGCUUGCAGAUACAGAAAGGGCCAGAAGAAAAGACAGCAAAAAUGGUGAAAGCUCCAUUGUUCUUGAAAUUCUCGGAUGCAAGAAAUUAUGGAGGAUUGACCAUCUGAUGAAUUGGUUGAAUCACUUGGAGUUUCUUCCUCCUACUUAUAGCUUGUUCGUUUCAGAACCUGAAAUUAAAAUUUCAAUAAGGGUUCUUCGGUUUGGCUUUUGAUUCUGUAAAUUCUGUAAGGAACAAUGAUCCGAAAUAGAAUUGCUACUCAAAAUGUUUUUU